AAAAGAGAGUGUCUAACCAAGAUCUUGUAUAGGGUUUCAUGUAAUUCUUAACCCCAAAACAGUACAAAACAGUCUAGGAGGCCAAAAGCUGUUGUUAAAUAAAAAUUUAGGCCUUUUGUUUAUUCAUUCAACAAACAUUUAUGGAGUGCUUAUGAUGUUCUAGACCACUAUGAGGAUGAGAACAUGAGUAUUAAUUACUAUAUUGUAUUAUAAAAUCUCUUAUCAGAAGUAUCCAGAACCACCUUCCAUGAGUCAGUCAGCUGGGAUGGUGCAUCUAAAACUUCAACAUACACACAAGCCUCCUGGAGCCCUGCUACAAGUCAAACUUGGGAAGCUCCUGAGAGCCUGUGUUUGUAACAGAUUUUGAAAUAUUGAAGCUGCUGUUCCAGGGACCACACUUUGAAUAGUAAAGAGCUAGAACCUGGGACUCAGCCUGCUUUAUCCAUCUCAUUUUACUACUAUUCUCCUGAGAACACUUCAUAAAAUCCCUAAGAUAAGACAUUUUUCCCUGUCACUACUGUACAACUAUAUAACACAAGGCAAUAAUAUUUUUGAUGCUGACCUUUGUAAAGUGACUGAUAAAAUUACAGAACAAGGUAUACUUUCAUUUUUUGUGUGGGGGAGAGACAUAUGGAUGUGGUAGCAAUCUGGAAAUACAUUACCUAUAUUCAUCAAAAUGGAAUGACUCAAAAUGUCAACAGCUCCAAAGCUCUUCCACUGACUAAGCAAGCAGGUGCUUUAUUUGUCAGUGGGAUAUGGAAACAUACUUAUGAUAAACAAGGGAUGGCAGGAUUCAAAAUCAGUUUUCAGUGAAGGAAAGCUCUUCAGCCAGGGCAGAGGUAGGGACAUGGAGUAGAAGUGAAUGCCCUGCAUGCAGAAAUAAACCAGGCCAUUACUAACCCGCCAGACAAUAAAGCUUCAGGAGAGUCGGAUUUUACUACCAUAUUUUACAAAGCAUCGUGCCUUGAACUGCUCCCAGAUGCACUGUUCAGGUUCACACUCCUCGUCUCCCCUUCCUACUUUAUAUGAGGUGAUCAUAUCUUUUACUCACAGAGCUGGGAAAGAUGUCCUUGAAUGUACCAACCAUAGACAUUUCUAUCAUUAAAGCUUGGUUAUAAAAUCUCCCUGAAGAACAAACGGUAGGGACUGUGCUGGCUUUAUGAAAGUUCCAUUAAUCCUAGGAGCAAAGUCUCUGUGGCCAAAACCCAAAUCCCUCACAUGCAGUGGAACCAUCGCUGACCGUAAAGGACAGAGUGGCUAUGACCUUUCACACAGAGAGUCAUUUGUAAGUGAAUUAAAGUUAUCACCAAAGGAUUAAAAUCAUGGCUAUGAAUCAACAAUUUCCAAUAGAUGGAUACUGCUCCAUAAGCUAACAAGUUAAGUAGAAGAAUGAGAUUACCUUAAUUGCAGAUUUGUAAAACGUUUCUUUUAAAAUUAAGAUUCCACAUGCUUCAAUCCUCUUAAAUGUAUUUUAAGUAGACAUCUACAUUUUCCCUUGAAAGUGUUAAUAUUUCCUGCUACGUUAGAGGAAUGAGAGAAGGUGUUGAGAAAGUAUUCUCUUUUUAGCUAACAUAAACACACAGUAUGGAUAUGCUAAUAAAGUAUUUUCAAGGAGCAAAAAAAAAAUUACCAUUUUAUGCAGAUGAUAAUGUAAUGCUUAACCAGUAAAAUAAUUCCCUCAUUUAUUACAAUAGCUGUAAUUAUAAUAGCUGUAUCAUCAUUAAUAGCUAUAUAAUAGCUGUACAGCUAUUAAUACUAAGGCACAAAAUCAAUUUAAAUUUAGUCAGAACUUUUAUUAUUAUCAAAAAGUUAUUAAGACUCUUUUAUGUAUAAUUUUAAUUGCCCCCAAAGCAUUCUAAAUAUUUAGCCAUUUAAUAAAGAGCCAGCUAUCAUAAAAGAAACCUUAUUACUGUCCCUAA
rnacentral:lncRNA from 1 species